rnacentral:rRNA from 1 species
UACGUAGGGGGCGAGCGUUGUCCGGAUUUAUUGGGCGUAAAGAGCGUGUAGGCGGCCAGGUAGGUCUGCUGUGAAAACUCGAGGCUCAACCUCGAGACGUCGGCGGAAACCAUCUGGCUAGAGUCCGGAAGAGGAGAGUGGAAUUCCUGGUGUAGCGGUGAAAUGCGCAGAUAUCAGGAAGAACACCAGUGGCGAAGGCGGCUCUCUGGGACAUAACUGACGCUGAGAAGCGAAAGCAUGGGGAGCGAACAGG